CCUACGGGAGGCAGCAGUGGGGGAUAUUGCACAAUGGGGGGAACCCUGAUGCAGCGACGCCGCGUGGGUGAAGAAGCGCCUCGGCGCGUAAAGCCCUGUCAGCAGGGAAGAAAAUGACGGUAACUGAAGAAGAAGCCCCGGCUAACUACGUGCCAGCAGCCGCGGUAAUACGUAGGGGGCAAGCGUUAUCCGGAUUUACUGGGUGUAAAGGGGGCGCAGACGGCGAUGCAAGCCAGGAGUGAAAGACGGGGGCCCAACCCCGGGACUGCUCUUGGAACUGCGUGGCUGGAGUGCAGGAGGGGCAGGCGGAAUUCCUGGUGUAGCGGUGAAAUGCGUAGAUAUCAGGAGGAACACCGGUGGCGAAGGCGGCCUGCUGGACUGCAACUGACGUUGAGGCCCGAAAGCGUGGGGAGCAAACAGGAUUAGAUACCCCAGUC
rnacentral:rRNA from 1 species